AGAACGAACGCUGGCGGCAGGCCUAAUACAUGCAAGUCGAACGCACUCUUCGGAGUGAGUGGCAGACGGGUGAGUAACGCGUGGGAACCUUCCCAAUGGUACGGAAUAACUCCGGGAAACCGGUGCUAAUACCGUAUAAGCCCCUCGGGGGAAAGAUUUAUCGCCAUUGGAUGGGCCCGCGUCGGAUUAGCUAGUUGGUAAGGUAAUGGCUUACCAAGGCUACGAUCCGUAGCUGGUCUGAGAGGAUGAUCAGCCACACUGGGACUGAGACACGGCCCAGACUCCUACGGGAGGCAGCAGUAGGGAAUCUUGGACAAUGGGCGAAAGCCUGAUCCAGCCAUGCCGCGUGAGUGAAGAAGGCCUUAGGGUUGUAAAGCUCUUUGGCGGGACGAUAAUGACGGUACCCGCAGAAUAAGCCCGCUAACUUCGUGCCAGCAGCCGC
rnacentral:rRNA from 1 species